UCACGAUUAUUCUCAAAAAAUCUCUUGUUUGUUCAUCAUUUUUUAGAUCUGUAUUAAGUUUCAAAAUAUGUUCAUCUGAAAGAGAAAAGAUAAACCCUAGAAACCCAAACAAAUCUGUAAUCGGAUUGAUCCAUUGAAGUAAAUAGGUUAAUAUUUAUAUAAAUUCAUUCAAUUUCUGUUAAUCCUAAAAAAAGAUAUUAAAUUUGAUUCUUCGGAUUUUGGUUUGUCAAUUUUUCAGGUUUGUGAUGAGAAUGAUGUUGAUAUUAUUACUUCCAACGUGUUCCAACAUUAUCGCAUCCUCUAAGUUCAAUUUCUUAAUUUAGUUUUCUUUCCCCUGCUGAUUUAGGGUUUAGAUAUGUGGAUCUGGGUACUUAAUGAUCUGUUUCUGGAUAUAUUUUUUUUUCUUUUCUAUGUUUUAGUGUGGCUGGUGGUAGUGUUCGUAUUUGAGGCUUGAUGUUCUCUGGUGGAGUUGCAGCAGCUUCGGCGGGAGGUGGUUUUGUAGGGGGUUGAGUAGAUUCUGAAGUAGAGGUUAACACAAUUUUUGGCAUCGAUGGACUUACCAAUCAAAACCCUGACAAAUCAUGAGAUGAUUGCAAGGUAAUGCUUCUGUUAAUACAAUCGUGCAAGUCCAAGAAUUAUCAAGCAACAAAAACAAGAUUCUCUUUUGGGAUUUGAAGUCCAAUAAUCAUCAAGUACCAAAAAUGAGAUGCUCAUGACUUACUGCAUCGCGGUGUUCACUACACAGUAAUACAAGAUUUAAUGCCUGAAGUGAAAUUCAGAACAACAAUUUUUUUCGGAGAUUAAAGACAUGCCAAAGUUAUAUUGACCAUGAGGGCCUUCUCAACAAUCUCUUUCAAUAGCUACUGCGAAGCAUCACAAACGAUGCAUCCUGCCAAGGCAAAAAGUCUGCAGGUAUCUCUGUGUUCGAUGUGACAAUGAACCCGCUCCUUGGACAAGGUGUUUGAACCAUUCGGGCCGUGGAGCUGGUGCCUCUUGACCAGGAGACUGGACAGUGCAAAGGGUUCGGUUUUGUCGUCUUGAAGAUGCUAGAACUGCUCAGAGUUUGAAUGGGAAAUUCGACAUUGC